GGUAACUUAUUCUUAUAAUCACUACUAGCGGAUCAUUUACUCAUGAAUUUAUGUGAGUUAUUAAGAAGAGGUUUUUGUAUCUUCUCGUCACCCCAACGAAAUAUUUGCACCUUUAAUACAAACCCCCUUAAAAAGAAUAAAAGUAUAUAAUAUAAAGAUCUAUAGGGUCUUCUCGUCCUCCAAUCUCAUUUUAGCCUUUUGACUAAAAAGUUAAAUUCAACGUUGAUUUUAAUGAGACAGCUAACACCUCGUCCAACCAUUCAUUCCAGCCUUUAAUUAAAAGACUAAUGAUUAUGCUACCUUUGCACGGUCAAAAUACCGCGGCCCUUUAAAUUCUUCAGUGGGCAGGUUAUACUUUUCAUAUACCCUUAAAAGCG
rnacentral:rRNA from 1 species